AUACUUACCUGGCAGAGGAGAUACCAUGAUCAUGAUAGGUGGUUUUUUUUCCCAAGGGGGAAGAUUAUGUACUGUGCUCCGGAUAUGCUGACCCCUGCUAUUUUCCCAAAUGUAGGAAACUUAACUGCAUAAUUUGUGGUAGUGGGGGACUGUGUUUGUUCUUUCCCCAG